UCCUGAGACACAGAAGGGAGUUGAAGGAGGAGCUGAUUCUUGGGGCCAUUUGAGACACCUUUUGGGAUUUCUGACAUGGACAGAAAUCUUAACAUCAUGGAUUCCUGUCAAGAAACCUAAUUUCUUCAAAGAAUUUCAUUCCACAAACUAUUGAGAUACACGGGAUUCAAAUCAGAGCACCAUUGAAGUGACUUAAGAGGAGAAAAUGGAAAUGAAUUGGAGAAACUGAAAGAAGAAUGACCAAUUUGGAGACCAGGGAAAGGUCAUGAUUAUGCUUAUGCAGAUGUGUAACCCCUACUGAAACUGAACUCCAUAAGAUCUCUCUCUGGGCAGUAAAAAGUCCACACGUGGGUUUCAUUAGGCAAGCAAUCGAAGAAAGAGCCAAUGCCAUAAGCUUCACAUUUAUAAAGAAGUGGAAUGAGGAAGCAACUGACAAAAUACCAUCAUCUACGACUACAUCCCGUGUUUGAUAUUUUCCUUUAUAAUGACAAGAAGAAAAAAAUUGCCUUGAUACCUCUCAGGUACUGAUUGGACAAGCAAAGUUUCAUGCAAAGGGCUAUUGUAUCACAGAAUCAUAGAUCAAGAUUGAGAAGUGAGCUUAGAAGUCAUCGAAUUGAAGCACAUUUAAAAUACACAAAAGAGAAUAGAAGAAAGGGAAAAGAAGGAAAAGUUUGAAAAUAACAUGCUGGAUGUGUUGUGUACACUGAGGGAAAAAUCAUGUUUCUGGUAUAGAUUUGUAGCUGCAUUUGCAAUCCUGUUUCUCUGUUCUAUGUUGUAUAAGGAAAUAAUCAUCUCAUUUGGUGCUUGUUAAGCU